CAAAAGGCACAUUAAAUGCCUUUGCCCAAUUGCACAAAAUAUAUGCCUAUAUAAAACCCUAUCCCUCUUCUCUUCUCAUUUCACUUCCAUUCUUCUAUACAAAAAAAAUAAUAACAUGAAGAUUUUCACAUUAUUUCUCAUUUUCAUCCUCCUCAUACAGGUUUUAUCCAAUGCUGCUGCUGAACAGAUAGAGGCAGGCAAUGAAGGAGCUCUUCACAAAAAAAUUCACCCAAUUAAGAGGAUACACUGCGGAUACGCAUGUGCGAGGAGAUGCAAGAAGUCGUCAAGAAAGAAGGUGUGCAUGAGGGCAUGCAAGACAUGUUGUGCAAGAUGCAAGUGUGUUCCACCAGGCACUUAUGGAAACAAGGAAGUUUGCCCUUGUUAUGCUAGGCUUAAGACUCAUGGCAACAAGCCUAAGUGCCCUUAAUUAAUUAAUAAUUUUUUAAAUUAAGAAAAAACAAUGCAUAUUAUUUAUUAAAUAAAUGCUUAGAUUUUAAUUAA